rnacentral:rRNA from 1 species
GAUGAACGCUAGCGGCAGGCUUAAUACGUGCAAGUCGAGGGGCAGCGCAGUGUAGCAAUACAUGGGCGGCGACCGGCAAACGGGUGCGGAACACGUACACAACCUUCCUUUAAAUGGGGAAUAGCCCAGGGAAACUUGGAUUAAUACCCCGUAAUAUUAUGGAGUGGCAUCACUUUAUAAUUAUAGCUACGGCGUUUAAAGAUGGGUGUGCGGCUGAUUAGGUAGUUGGCGGGGUAACGGCCCACCAAGCCUUCGAUCAGUAACUGGUGUGAGAGCACGACCAGUCACACGGGCACUGAGACACGGGCCCGACUCCUACGGGAGGCAGCAGUAAGGAAUAUUGGGCAAUGGACGCAAGUCUGACCCAGCCAUGCCGCGUGGAGGAUGAAGGUCCUCUGGAUU